rnacentral:rRNA from 1 species
UCGGGAAUUUUGGGCAAUGGGCGAAAGCCUGACCCAGCAACGCCGCGUGAGGGAUGAAGUAUUUCGGUAUGUAAACCUCGAAAGAAUGGGAAGAAUAAAUGACGGUACCAUUUAUAAGCACCGGCUAACUCCGUGCCAGCAGCCGCGGUAAUACGGAGGGUGCAAGCGUUAUCCGGAUUCACUGGGUUUAAAGGGUGCGUAGGUGGGCAGAUAAGUCAGUGGUGAAAUCUUCCGGCUUAACCGGGAAACUGCCGUUGAUACUAUUUGUCUUGAAUAUUGCGGAGGUAAGCGGAAUAUGUCAUGUAGCGGUGAAAUGCUUAGAUAUGACAUAGAACACCAAUUGCGAAGGCAGCUUACUACACAAUCAUUGACACUGAGGCACGAAAGCGUGGGUAGCGAACA